rnacentral:rRNA from 1 species
UCGAACGCGUCUCCGUUAAUGAUUUUAGGUGCUUGCAUUUGAAAGAUUAACAUUGAGACGAGUGGCGAACUGGUGAGUAACACGUGGGUAACCUGCCCUUGAAGUAGGGGAUAACACUUGGAAACAGGUGCUAAUACCGUAUAACAACCAAAACCACCUGGUUUUGGUUUAAAAGACGGCUUCGGCUGUCACUUUAGGAUGGACCCGCGGCGUAUUAGCUUGUUGGUAAGGUAACGGCCUACCAAGGCGAUGAUACGUAGCCGACCUGAGAGGGUAAUCGGCCACAUUGGGACUGAGACACGGCCCAAACUCCUACGGGAGGCAGCAGUAGGGAAUCUUCCACAAUGGACGAAAGUCUGGUGGAGCAACGCCGCGUGAGUGAUGAAGGGUUUCGGCUCGUAAAACUCUGUUGUUGGAGAAGAACAGGUGUCAGAGUAACUGUUGACAUCUUGACGGUAUCCAACCAGAAAGCCACGGCUAACUACGUGCCAGCAGCCGCGGUAAUACGUAGGUGGCAAGCGUUGUCCGGAUUUAUUGGGCGUAAAGCGAGCGCAGGCGGUUUUUUAGGUCUGAUGUGAAAGCCUUCGGCUUAACCGGAGAAGUGCAUCGGAAACCGGGAGACUUGAGUGCAGAAGAGGACAGUGGAACUCCAUGUGUAGCGGUGAAAUGCGUAGAUAUAUGGAAGAACACCAGUGGCGAAGGCGGCUGUCUGGUCUGUAACUGACGCUGAGGCUCGAAAGCAUGGGUAGCGAACAGGAUUAGAUACCCUGGUAGUCCAUGCCGUAAACGAUGAGUGCUAAGUGUUGGAGGGUUUCC